rnacentral:tRNA from 1 species
GCCGGUGUGAUGGAAUGGUAGACGUAGCGGAUUCAAAAUCCGCCGGGGGCGACUCCGUGUGGGUUCGAGUCCCACCACC